rnacentral:rRNA from 1 species
UGAGGUGCAGUGGCGGAAUCGUGGUUUAAUAAUCGGGUUGGUACUCAGUUGUCAGUGUGUUUGGCGAUCCCCUAGUCGGCACACUUAUGAUUUCUGGGAUAAUUCCAUACCAGGCACGUUCCGUCACUGUCACUUUGUCAUUGGUUUGAUGCUGAACUUGGUCAUGUGUCUGAUGCUAUUUUCAUAUAGCGACGGUACCCUUCGUGGUCUGUCUUCCUGACCUCGGUUCAGACGUGAUUACCCGCUGAACUUAAGCAUAUCACUAAGCGGAGGAAAAGAAACUAACCAGGAUUCCCUUAGUAACGGCGAGUGAACAGGGAAAAGCCCAGCACCGAAGCCUGUGGUCAUUUGGCCCCUAGGCAAUGUGGUGUUCAGGUUAGCUCGCGAAGAUGCUGC